GCGCCCUCUGGCGGUGCCGUUGUGUCAGCGCGGGGAGGGGGCGAGGGGCCCUUUUUGGGGCGAUUUACGGUGGUGUUUUAUUUACUGCUUCGUUUACUUAAGAACAAAGUCAGCCGCCGUUAAAGUGAAAGAAGAGCCGAAGAAACAAAAGACAUGAGAUCGCGGGCUUCGCAUUCUCCAGCGGGAAUUCGGUGUACCAGUGCCAUUUGCACACUCACCAGGAGAGAAAGGUCUGGGAGGAGGGUUGGCGAAUUCUGCUUGGGAAGCACUGUGAGACCUUGGAUGGAAGGUGCAGAGUAUUGAGUGAAACGUGGUUGGUCUGUGCAGUCACUUCUGGCCCAGUCACAACUCCCACUGGCUUCGCUGCAAGGUCUGUGUGUGCAAAAAUACCAGGCUAGGGCCCUUUCUUUGGCGUUUUACACUCAUACCUAGGCUGUGAAGAAUCAGAAACGCUGGGGGAACGAAGGGUUUUCCCUUCUUCUAGAGCAGAACUGCGUAUGCAGUGGAUGGUGCCCUCACUGACACUCGACAACCUGACGCACAAAAGAUUUUGAAGCUUCCUUUAAAACCUGCCUGGGUGGAAAACAUCUGCUCACCUACCACAGUACCUAACCCUACAAGCAACUGCAGCUACCCCUGCUGACCACCAGCCUCUGCCUGUCUGCUUGUGUACUGUAAUUCCACACUAAAUGGCUGAGUACCUUCCUCUGUACAGCUGAUGACACUCUUAUGUCUUGGGAAGCUGAAGUACUGGGAUCCUGGGGGGAGGGGUGGGUCAAUUCCUGUCUCUGCCACAGACUUCCUGUGUGACCUUAGGCAAAUCUCUUAAUAUUGUGCUUCAAUGCCCCAGCUGUAAAAAAAGAGAUCACAAUCCUUCCUUUGGCUGUUGUGUCUAGUUAGAUAUAAGCUCAGCAGACAGGGACUGUCUCUUACUGGGUAGAUGCACAGUUCUUAGCACGGCAGGACCCCAGUGCAACCAUAAGACAAAUAGUAAUAAUAGAACAAUACCACACCAAAUCCCUCCAUUGUUACCUGUAUAUAAUACCACCCCUAAAACCUGAGUACGUAACAGAUAUUUACCUCCGGACAUACUUGUAACCAUCUCUAUAAAACACAGACUAACAGUUCUUUUAAUUGCCUGUUUCCUGUUGCAGGGGAACUCCUUGUCCACACCAACUCAGCCCUAAAUAUAGGGCAAAGCUCCCACUGCCGUCACUGGGACUGCUGGGUCUGCAGCCAGAUGCAGGUUCAGGCCGAGUGCAGGUAGCAGAAGUGUCUGACGGCCUCCGAGUUCAUGUCGUAGCAGGCCCUAUAUGGUAUUAUCCUCGGUCUGUUGCAGUUGUUGCGUGAUGUCAGUUGGAGUUGGAGUCACGACGUGUCCCAUAUGUGCCCGAUCACUCCACACGGGCAGCACAGCCAUUCCGUUAGUGGGUUAAGCCAGUGCUUAUUUUUAGCUAAGAUUCUUUGUUUGUUCUGGUGCUCCUGGGAAGUGACUUCCUGUAAGGAAUGUUAAACAUCGCUGUGACUGGCCCUGCGGCUGGGCCAGGCCCACGCUGCUCCGGAGUGCACCAGGAAAACCUCUGUAAAAUGCCUCCACCUAGGAUUUGUCUAAGGAUAAAGGGCGAUGCCCUCCCAGCCCAGGUGCCAGGGCGUCCCAUCCAAUUGUUUGAGCAGAUGCCUUGUUCUCUGAACGUUUUUCUAAAGGCUUCAGUGCUGCUUUUGUAACUAGGAAGACUGGUUCCUAAAGAAAUGAUAAGGGGGUCUCAGUGAACUCAUGGCUAUCUGGGUUAAAAGGUUUGGAGAGCUACUGAUGCAUGCUGUUUAAUGAUUAAUUGGAGGUUUCAGAAUAGUUAGUUAGGAGUAGACAGUCUCUGCCCCAAAGAAGCUGGUAUCUCAGAGUAGCCAGGAUGCACCGGGAAGCCAAGAAGAGCGAAUGGCUGGCAUUCUAUAUAAAUCACCCUUCAUUUUAUUGACUCACUUCUUGUGGGAUGUCUAGACUGCAGUGAGUCUGCAGGAGCCAUUGGGAUAAAAGGAGAGUGGGGUUUGCUGGACUGAAAUAGGGAGGGCAUGGCAAGCACAUGGGGCAGUGUGCAAAAAGGCACAGGUGUCUGUGGGAGACACAGGGCAAGGAGGCAGAGUGAGGGAAGGGUAGCAGUUGCAAACUGCUUUGAACCAGGAGAGCACUGUGUAAGUUCUAUGCCCAUUACACCUUUGGUAAUAUCUCAUUUACUUUUAGGGGGGUGCGCGUCAUGGUUAUUGCGGGGUUCUGGGAGUCUGGGCUUGUCUUCUGGCCCUGCUGCUGACUUGCUGUGUGAUCUCGGGAAAGUCACUUCACUGCUUUGUGCCUCAGUUUCCCCCAUCUGGAAAAUGGAGAGAUUCACACUCACUGGCUGCACAAAGGGUACUGUGGGACCUAAUCACUAUGGGUAAAGCAUGUUGAAAUCCUUGGCUCAGAGGAUUCAUUUAAAUAGCAUCUGGUGCCAAAAUGGGAACCCCAGACUAGAACAGCAGGGGAGAUGGUGCAGGCCAGAGCCCAGGAAUUACCUAAAAUUCCUGCAUGUAAGAAAGGAAUGCUGCCACAAACCUAAAAGUGAGUUUCUGGUGCCAUCUAGUGGAUAUUUUUAGUAUUGUGCUGGCUAAUAAAAGAGAAUUAGUUUUCUAAUAAAUGUAUAUCAGCGUUUGA